GUCCAGGAAAACCAGCUCCUUUCUGUUUGACAUUUUAAGAUUUCCGCAGUUGGGAGAUUAAAAUCAUUUGGCAUUUCAGUUACAUACGUAGAGCUUUUCUGUCCUUUCCUUCCCUCCUCCUUCCUUCCCUCCUUCUUAGUGCUAUUCUAUCAUUUCUUAUUUUCUUUUUUUUGUUUUUUUUGGUACCGGGGAUCGAACUCAGGACCUUGCGCUCGCGAGGCAGGCGGCGGAACCACUGAGCUAAAUCCCCGGCCCCGUGCUAUUCUAUAAUUUCUUUUUUUAUUAUUAUUCUAUAAUUUCUUAAUCGUGCUGUAGGUCCGACGAAACAGGGUCGAGUAUGCGGUUAUUCCGAAGUCCCCCUGCUCUGCCCAGCCACGUGGGCGGUGCUAGAGCGCAAGGAAAAGAAAAGUGAAUCCAGCGCGAUUCUCGAUUCUCGCAGGUGCGCGUUACGGUGUUUCUGACAAGCGUCCACUCAGCGCUGGACAAAUGUGAGAGUGAAUGCCCCCCUCCCAAAGUGGCCAGGACUUUUCUGAGUGCCGGUAAGGUCUGCAGUUAAAGGUAUGUAUUCUGUUCAUAAUCUCACAACCCGGAGAUAUACAUAUGUGUCCGUCAAAUGUGCGAACAGUGUGCGUGUUGAAAGUGUGAGCAGACGCCCGUAAACUAAGAGUCCUCUUUCCGUCUGUGGAAAUAGAGGGCAGUGGAGCACGCACAGCGUUUGCCUCUGGAACUCUGGUUGUGUGUGUACAGCACGAUGCUCACAUGGUACACAGCAGUGAACACAGAGCAGCCCCUCAGUUCUGUUGCUGACCAAUCAGUUCUUUCACCAGCUUCAUAUUUGCUAAGCCUUGUCCAUUAAAAGGAAACUCAAAAACUCUGCGGUGAAAGGAAUGAAGAGAGGCUGUUGCCAGAUUUGAUCGUUUGCUAACCAUUUCAAGCCUGUAGAGUUCUAGCGAACAACUGGUAGCUACUCCCAGUGACUUUUUUCCUUUUUAAAAUUUUAUUGGUGCAUUUUAGAUUUACCUAUUAAUCCCAUUCAUCAUAGGGAAUUUGUACCUGUACAUGAUAUAUCUUGAUUCUUUAUUUCUCAUUCCCCUACCCUCCCUUCAACUCUUCUUCCCCUUCUUAUUUACAAAAGCUUUGUUUCCAUUGUUUUCUAUUCUCUUUUUUUGUCCCUUCUUUCCUUUCCCCCUCUCCCCUCCCUUGUUCCUCUUCUCAUAUGAACAUUUUCUUCCCAUUUGCCAAUAUCUGUUACACAUUUUGGUCUUUAUUUACACUUUCAGGUUUUCACACCAGAGAAACAAUGUGUGUCCAAUUUAUUUCACUUAAGAGUAUGGUCCCAAGGUCCAUCCAUUUAACUAUAAGUGUGUGAAGCGCAUCCUUCUUUAUGGCAGAGUAGUACUCCAUUGUAUAAAAAAAUCCCACAUCUUCUUUAUCUGUUCAUCAGUUGAUGGACAUUUGGGCUGUUUCCAAGCUUUAGCUAUUACAAACUGUGCCGCUAUAAACAUGGUGUGCAUAUAUCGCUGUGGUAGGAUGCUUUUAAUUCUUUCAUUCCCAGUGAUUAUUAAAGGUCAACUCAAUUAAUUCUCUUUGAAUCUUGGUAGUUCACUGGAAUGAAGUAACUGGCAUUACAUAGAUGAAUCUUGGGAACAGGGGCUGAGCUACAUGGUCCAUUUCCAUUAUCAUGGGGUUCUUCCUCUUCCCCUUCCCCUUCCUUCCCUUGGCCUCCUGCACAAUUCAGUGCCAAACCCCUCAGGUGGCUCAGGGCAGGGUGCUAGACCCCAAGCAGGGUGAGGAAGGCGUCACAACAGAGGAACCGCCCGGCACUGGUGUCCAAAUCUGCGUGAAGCGGGCAGAUGGACCUGGGUGGAACCCAGUAGAACCCGGGUGAUUGAGGGUGUGCCGAGUGGUGGGUACAUUGUGAAGGAUGCUGGAGCACAGACACUGGAGUGGAGUGUGUCCAUGUAGGGAGGGAUGCUGGUAGAGAUGGGAGAUGGGUUAUACGCAGGGGGCUGAUAAAAUGAUAAAUCUAUUAAGGGUAACUGGCCCCAGGUUUAAAACUGUCAGGGAAAGGAGUUACAGGUAGACAAUGAGUGAAUGAGCCCUGAGGGAUGGAACUAGAACGAGAGACGUCAGUGUGGAUCGCUGACCUUCAUGUGUGUACACAGAUGCUAACGAGGGAACUACAGAGGGGCAGGUGUGUGUGCCUGCAUGCAUCCCCUAACUCGGUCCGCCACCGGGAGGGUCUGUGACCAGUGAUGCCCACAGGCACGUCCAGCCCCGGACCCUAGCUUCCCUCUGCUGUUCUCUAAUGAAAGGGACCAGAGUUGCUGAGAGAAGCAGCUGUUUCCAGGUGAGAGCAAAGGAAGCACGAGGUGAGCCUGGGAUGUCUGCACCCGCCUGAACACAAGGAGCUGUCCCAGCAGUGAUGGGGACGCGUCCAGAGGGCGCCAAACAGUGUGAAGGAGCUCCCUUUGGCCCACUCGGAAACACUCUGAGCAUCAAAAGGAAAUGGGGGUAAUAACGUUGCAACCCGUUAAGUAAAAAGAUGCUGGCCUGCACCUAUUUAUGAGGAGGCAUUGGGGUGACCUGGACUGACAGACAUUCUACAAAACAGGCCCCCUGUAACCUUCCAAAAUGUCAGGAUCAUGAAAAUCAAAGAAAAGUUUGAAGAACUGUUCCCCACCGGCAGGGGCCACAGGGAUCACUAUAAGCAACACGAGGUCCCCAACUGGAUCCUUCGCUGUGAAAGACAAUAUGGAGACAUCUGUGGCGACCAUUAGGUGACACGGACCUUCAGUAACUCUCUGACAGUGAGCUUGGUGUGCUCACCUCGUUCUGUGAAGGUGCCUUGAGCAGGGAUCACAAGCUUCCAGGCAGGUGUGAGCUCACUGGCACCCUCCCUGCACUUCAGGGCUCCUCACAUGGAGGCCACCUUUGAUGCUGAUGCCAGCCGCACCCGUGACAUCUCUGUUGUGGACAAGAGAACAGGAAAGGGGAAGAAGACUGCUGUCGCAGAGACAAGGGCCACUUGGACAAGGAAGACAGUGAGCGUGCGGCUGGGGAAGCUGGAAGGCUUGGAGCCAGAGAUGAGGAGUAGAGGAGCAGGCAUCGAGCAGGAAUUGCUUAAGUCAUAUUCAUUCAACACGAAGCCAAUAACGGAAGAUGAGAAACUUCAACGCAAGAGCAGCAAUGAGGAAAAACAGUCAAUUUUCAGAUUUUUACGGAUAAUAUUGUUCUACUACAUGCAACAUAUUGUUCUGACUGUACAAGCGCUAGGACCCAAAUUCCAUCCCCAGUACCAGAAAAACAAAACAAAACAUAUCGUUCUGAAAUACACCUACAUUGUGAAAUGCCACAUCUAGUUAACUAACAUUUGAUUACCUCGUGUGGUUGAUCAUUUGUCAUCUCCUCUCUUGGCAUUCUUCAAGAAUGUAAUAUGAAAUAUUUAAAAAACCAAUAGGAAAUAGGGGGAAUGAAAAGAAUUAAGAUAUGGGCCGGGGAUUUAGCUCAGUGGUUUCGCCGCCUGCUGUGCAAGCGCAAGGACCUGAGUUCAAUCCCCAGUACCAAAAAAAAAAAAAAGGAAAAGAAUUAAGACGUGUUAUGUAUAUGUACCAACUCUCCAAGAAUAAAUGCUGCC
ensembl:lncRNA